rnacentral:tRNA from 1 species
UCUCUGUUAGUAUAUCGGUUAGUACACGCGCCUGUCAUCGACUUGGCCGCGCGAAAGCGGGGUUCGACUCCCCGACAGAGAG